CAGUCGCCGCGGUAGGACGAACCGUGCGAACGUUAUUCGGAAUCACUGGGCUUAAAGCGCGUGUAGGCGGAUGGGAGCGUCGGCCUCUGAAAUCCCCCGGCUCAACCGGGGAAGUGGAGCCGAAACGACCCGUCUGGGGGGACGUAGGGGGACCUGGAACUUCCGGUGGAGCGGUGAAAUGCGUUGAGAUCGGAAGGAACGCCCGUGGCGAAAGCGAGGUCCUGGACGUCUGCUGACGCUGAGACGCGAAAGCCAGGGGAGCGAACGGGAUUAGAUACCCCUGUAGUCCCUGUCUCUUAUA
rnacentral:rRNA from 1 species